rnacentral:rRNA from 1 species
UACAGAGGUGCCAAGCGUUGUUCGGAUUUACUGGGCGUAAAGGGUGCGUAGGUGGUUUGGUAAGUCGGGUGUGAAAUCCUGCAGCUCAACUGCAGAACUGCAUUCGAAACUGCCAAGCUAGAGUACUGGAGAGGAGAUCGGAAUUCUCGGUGUAGCAGUGAAAUGCGUAGAUAUCGAGAGGAACACCAGUGGCGAAGGCGGAUCUCUGGACAGUUACUGACACUGAGGCACGAAAGCCAGGGGAGCAAACGGG